rnacentral:rRNA from 1 species
UACGUAGGGGGCGAGCGUUGUCCGGAUUUAUUGGGCGUAAAGAGCGUGUAGGCGGCCAGGUAGGUCUGCUGUGAAAACUCGAGGCUUAACCUCGAGAUGUCAUCGGAAACCAUCUGGCUAGAGUCCGGAAGAGGAGAGUGGAAUUCCUGGUGUAGCGGUGAAAUGCGCAGAUAUCAGGAAGAACACCAAUGGCGAAAGCAGCUCUCUGGGACGGUACUGACGCUGAGACGCGAAAGCGUGGGGAGCGAACAGG